rnacentral:misc_RNA from 1 species
GAUGAAGAACGCAGCGAAAUGGGAUAAGUAGUGUGAAUUGCAGAAUUCAGUGAAUCAUCGAAUCUUUGAACGCACAUUGCGCCCCUUGGUAUUCCAUGGGGCAUGCCUGUUCGAGCGUCAUUUGUACCUUCAAGCCUUGCUUGGUGUUGGGUGUUUGUCUCGCCUCUGCGCGCAGACUCGCCUCAAAACAAUUGGCAGCCGGCGUAUUGAUUUCGGAGCGCAGUACAUCUCGCGCUUUGCACUCAGAACGACGACGUCCAAAAGUACAUUUUUACACUCUUGACCUCGGAUCAGGCAGGGAUACCCGCUGAACUUAAGCAUAUCAAUAAGCGGAGGA